rnacentral:rRNA from 1 species
UAUUCUGGUGUCUUAGGCGUAGAGGAACCACACCAAUCCAUCCCGAACUUGGUGGUGAAACUCUACUGCGGUGACAAUACUGUAGGGGAAGCCCUACGGAAAAAUAGCUCGAUGCCAGGAUGAAAAAAAAGUUUAACAACUCCUAUUCUUUUUCAGAGGUCGUCUUCUUCAAAACCCGAUAUCGAUAUCCUUUUCCUUUUACUCUACACUUAGAAAUGUAAUACCUUUCUUUAUACUUUAUAAAGUUUAUAAAGAAAACUCCUAAACGUCCGCAUCUUAUUAGCCAUUCUAUCGGUCUAAAAAAGGUUACUUUUGAAAAAGAAAAAGGCACCUAGUAAUAAAUCCAGUGGAGACG